rnacentral:rRNA from 1 species
UACGUAGGGGGCUAGCGUUGUCCGGAUUUAUUGGGCGUAAAGAGCGUGUAGGCGGCCAGGUAGGUCGGCUGUGAAAACUCGAGGCUCAACCUCGAGACGUCGGCGGAAACCAUCAGGCUAGAGUCCGGAAGAGGAGAGUGGAAUUCCUGGUGUAGCGGUGAAAUGCGCAGAUAUCAGGAAGAACACCCGUGGCUAAGGCGGCUCUCUAGUACGGUACUGACGCUGAGACGCGAAAGCGUGGGGAGCGAACAGG